GAUCUGGCUCAGGACGAACGCUGGCGGCGUGCCUAAUACAUGCAAGUAGAACGCUGAAGAGAGGAGCUUGCUCUUCUUGGAUGAGUUGCGAACGGGUGAGUAACGCGUAGGUAACCUGCCUUGUAGCGGGGGAUAACUAUUGGAAACGAUAGCUAAUACCGCAUAACAAUGGAUGACACAUGUCAUUUAUUUGAAAGGGGCAAUUGUUCCACUACAAGAUGGACCUGCGUUGUAUUAG
rnacentral:rRNA from 1 species